rnacentral:ncRNA from 1 species
GCUUAUUCUCAGGGCGGGGCGAAAUUCCCCACCGGCGGUAAAUCAGCUUCGGCUGAAAGCCCGCGAGCGCUUUGGACCUCCCGGUUCAAAGGUCAGCAGAUCCGGUGUAAUUCCGGGGCCGACGGUUACAGUCCGGAUGGGAGAGAGUAACG